GACAUUGGAGUCCAAAAAUAUGGAAACCACCGACAGAACCUGCCUAUGUAAGGACAAAAGACAGACAGGUCGUAUCAUUUAAACGGUUUAAGAGGAAAUGCUAACUCAAGCCACUAUGUCAUGCGUGCCUUCAGACUACAGCUGGUGCUUUGCUGCUUGAUCUACGGAGUGGGCUACUCUGGAAGGAUAUGUCUGAAAAUCCUGUGCAAACUAGAACCUCACACCCUCAAGACGGAAAGAGCUUCUUGGGGGUUAUAUCCCUUCCUAAGCCGUCUGAAGAAGCCAGGUCAUUUGUCCUAUUGAUGAUCCUACAGCCUGGAUUCGGCUGGUUGCUUCCUCGUGUAUCAUCUAACAUGAAAAUGUUCCUUUAUCCUUUGUAUUUUCAGUAAACUGAUAGUUUCAUGUAGAUGCUUAAUUAGAUCCUUGUUCAAAAGAUUUUUUUUGGAUAGGACUACUUCUGAGGUGGGGCUGCACUAUUGCAGCACAUCAUGAGGCACAUGACUGACUGCCACGUUUUCAGUGAUACUAGAAUAAUCUGUGUGUUCCAGUGGUAUUUUGGAAAGGCCAACAAAAAAUUCUCUGCUUAAUAAAUGUCAGCCUGA